UUGAAAUCUGAAAUUAAUAAAACCGUACAUUUUCCGGUUUUUUCUAUGUUUUUUUUCCACGUUUUCCAAAUUGCCGGAAAACUGCAUGAAAAACAAAAACGAAUAUUGCAUUCUCAAUGCACUAACUAGAUCACAUUCCUUAUCACUUUUUGAUCGGUGCAAGAUUUCUAGUAGACAAGUUGUUUACAGAAUGUAAACAAAAUUAAAAUCACGUUUUAUAGUAAAACUAAUGCAUUCCUCGCGUUAAGGUCAGAGUUCAAAAAAAAAUAAAAAAAAAAAAAAAUGUAUAAUUUGAAAAACUUAAGUACCUAGGUAUAAAUAAGUCCUUUUAUUCCCAACAUGCUUAUGACUAGCCCAUUGAAACGGCAGCGUAUAAUCGAAUUUUGAAGUUUGACCAACAACUAUAUAGCAUUUCAAACGUCUGUAUCGACAAAUUAUUCCUAAAAUUCGAUAAAACAAAUUUCCCUUACAUUUAAACUCAGUGCGGUGUGGCUAUUAACCGGAACGCGCUACGUCAACUGAAAUUGGAGUAUCGUGUGUCUAUAGAAUCUGCGUUUUUUACUUCAAAAGAAUAUUAUAUCUAUAGAUUUGUUUUUUCUCUUUCGUACUUCAUGAAUAUUAAAGGUGUUUUAAAUUCAAACCGAAAUGGACCGCGGACGACGUUGCCGCUUAAGUAAGUCGCGGUCUAAAAAGUAUUUCGGCUAAUGAACCUAGCGCAGGCUCCUUAUUUCCAUCUCGGUAGUUUUCGUGCGCAUUAUUGUUAUUAUCGUCAACUUU